ACACGCGGUGCGUGCUGAGUGUGCAGCCACCGCCUGCCCAGCGCUGCUGACCACAGCCUCUCUCAGUGCCUGCUCCAGCAUUCCUCCGGGAGGAGAGGCUCCCAGCAGCUCUGUUAGUAGUGGGAGGGUGAGUGCGCAAGCUUUAUUACCUGCCACCGCCAGCUCACCAGGAAAGUAUGCCAUUCCUGAGUCGACAGAUAUGUAGCUGCUGCUGUUUAAUUAUCAUGGGCUGCCAUGCCAGAAGCACUGGCCCACAAUGUCCUUCAGCUUUUCAUUGCUGUAUGCAAAGCAGGAGCCUCAUGCUGCCUUGAACAGGGUGUUAUUACAGCCGCUGCACGGACUGAAGUGCAGAGUAGCAAUGGCUUUGGCUCUUUGCUGAUGAGGAGGAACUGAUUUUGGCAGGAUACUCCUUGUUACACUGGACUGCUUCCCAGCCUCCUGUAGGUUUUGGAAAGUGUCCCGUUCAGCUGCCAUGUGGAAGGCUUUGAACUUUAAAUGGGAACAGACGCAGCGCAGCCGAGGGGGAGUGUGGGGGGGUGGUGCUGGCAGUCCUCCCUCCCCUCCUUCCCUCCCCAGUGCCACCUCAGGAAGCUAUCCUGCAGCCCUGGAGCCUUGGGGGAGGCUGCAAGGAAAUGUUCUACACAACGGGAAAGUGUCCUGAAUCAACAGGUGACACUGGGAUUGCUCUGUACAAGAUCUGCUGUUUUCUUCCCCCUCAAGGAGGGGGCACACAGGUGGAGAAAGUGCCACCUGUAUCAGCUCCCCUCUGACUUUGGGCACCUGCCCAAGCAAAGCCCAUUGCUGCUUUGUACCCAGUGGAAGCAUAGUCAUACAAUCAUAGAAUCAUUUGAGUUGAAAGGGAUCCUAAAAGGUCAUCCAGACCAUCUCCCCUGCAAUGAGCAGGGACAUCUACAGCUCAAUCAGGUUUCUCAGAGCCCUGACCAGCCUGACCUUGAAUGUCUCCAGGGACGGGCAUCUACCACCUCUCUGCGCAACCAGUUUCGUAGCCUUACCACUUACAUAUCACAUAUUUAUUUGUUGGUAGGUGUGAUGCUUGCAUAUGGGGCCUGACCUAAAGAGAUGAAGAAGUACCCCGUGGUAUGGUCAGUGUUGCCAUUGAUGCACCCUAUGCUGUCCUUACCUGCCACAGUGUGUUUCAGAAGAUCUCCUCAUGGGCCUAAGGAGCUGCAGGAAGUUGUUGGUGCGCUGCAGCACGGCAAGCUGCUUUCUUCACUUCCUUCCUUGCACUAUUGUGUAAAGUUGUAGUCAACAGUAUAGAAGAAAAACAGAAUGCAUAUUUUUUCAUCUUUCUUUCAAAAGGCCUCACUGGGCUUGUUCUUCGAUGCGGCAGGACUGUGCUUCUGUUAUACUGCCUCAGUACUGCUCCUGGUACUCAGCACCCCAGCUGGGGAGGUACAGCCAUCCUGUCCACCCUCCAGCAUUCCCUGGGAUGGAUAUCAGAAAGGCAGAUUUCAGAAGGGAUAGAGAAAGCAUGCCGUCUGCUCACAUGAGGAUUUCUCAUUCAGAUGUGCCUUCAACAAAGAAUCUCAGACAUGGGGCUCAGGUCCACGAUGCUAGUGGGCUCAUAGGUUUUGGAACAUUCAGGAUAAGAACUUUUUCCUUUAUGGAAUGCAUCAAGAAGAGAGAAGAACCUCACUUGGGUGGGGUACAAAUGGAGCAAUUUAUGAACAGCUACUUUUACAAUACUUAUACUUUUGAGAAACAAAUUCUUUCCGUUAUGUUUAAACGCCAGCUUGGUUCUCUUGGGCAGCAAAAUGCCUUCUGGCUGAAAUGCUGGACUGUACACAGAAGUGGGCUAAUUUACUGACAGGAGACACUAAUAUUUAAAAACUGAUCUUGAGGAAUGUAAUCAAGUUAACUGACACAAGAAUAGCACAAGAAAUAUGGCUUAUCUUGUCUUUUCCUUCAGUAAUGUGGAAAAAAGAAGUAAAUACAAGACACCUUUUGACA